UACGGAGGGUGCAAGCGUUAUCCGGAUUCACUGGGUUUAAAGGGUGCGUAGGCGGGCAUGUAAGUCAGUGGUGAAAUCUCAGAGCUUAACUCUGAAACUGCCAUUGAUACUAUGUGUCUUGAAUUUCCUAGAGGUUAGCGGAAUAUGUCAUGUAGCGGUGAAAUGCUUAGAUAUGACAUAGAACACCGAUUGCGAAGGCAGCUGACUGCGGGUAGAUUGACGCUGAGGCACGAAAGCGUGGGGAUCAAACAGG
rnacentral:rRNA from 1 species